AUCUUAUCGACAUCUUAGCAAUGAACGGUGUUGAUAUAUCAGUGUCAGAAGGUGAAGCCAGUAACGGCCUUCUCGGGUUCAUUGGCAACCUAUUGUUCCCAUUGUUAGCCUUCGGUGGUCUGUUCUUCUUAUUCCGCCGAUCCCAAGGAGGCGGCGGUGGACCAGGCGGCCUCGGCGGACCUAUGGAUUUCGGAAGGUCAAAAUCCAAGUUCCAGGAAGUCCCAGAAACCGGCGUUUCCUUUGCAGACGUCGCCGGAGCAGAUCAAGCUAAACUAGAGCUCCAAGAAGUCGUUGAUUUCUUGAAAAACCCAGAUAAGUACACAGCCCUCGGAGCUAAAAUCCCAAAAGGGUGUCUCCUCGUGGGACCACCAGGAACCGGGAAGACCCUUUUGGCUAGGGCGGUGGCCGGAGAAGCUGGUGUGCCAUUUUUCUCAUGUGCUGCAUCAGAAUUCGUUGAGUUAUUUGUGGGUGUUGGUGCAUCUAGAGUUAGGGAUUUGUUUGAAAAGGCGAAAUCAAAAGCACCUUGCAUUGUGUUCAUUGAUGAAAUAGAUGCAGUCGGAAGACAAAGAGGUGCAGGUCUUGGUGGUGGGAAUGAUGAAAGGGAACAAACUAUUAAUCAAUUGUUGACAGAAAUGGAUGGUUUUUCUGGUAAUUCUGGUGUCAUUGUUUUGGCUGCUACUAACAGACCCGAUGUUCUUGAUUCUGCUUUGUUGAGACCUGGGCGGUUUGACCGACAGGUGACAGUUGACCGGCCUGAUGUUGCUGGUAGAGUCAGGAUCCUUCAGGUUCGAUCAUAUCCUUUUUAUUGUGUCAUGAAAUUAGUCAAAAAGAAAAAAAAGUAUCUAAAGUUUCUUAUAUGUUUCUAGGUGCAUUCAAGGGGAAAAUCACUUGCAAAAGAUGUGGAUUUUGAUAAGGUUGCUAGGAGAACACCAGGUUUCACAGGAGCUGAUUUGCAAAACCUGAUGAAUGAAGCAGCCAUUCUUGCUGCUAGACGUGACCUUAAGGAAAUAAGCAAAGAUGAGAUAUCAGAUGCUCUUGAGAGAAUCAUUGCUGGCCCUGAGAAGAAAAAUGCAGUUGUUUCAGAAGAGAAAAAGAAGCUCGUUGCAUAUCAUGGUAACUAAACUUAAUACUCCUGUCUUUCUACUCUUCUCUUCCCAUGAUAAACAACUAAAGGGUAUUUUAGACAUUUCAUAUCAUGGUAACCAAAAAAAUUAUAUAUACCUAUCUCUCUACUUCUCCCGUCCCAUGAAAACCAGAAAAGGGUAUUUUUGACAUAUCAUAUCACCGUAACCACACAUAUGUACCUGUCUCUCCUUUUCCCCUUCCCGUGAAAACCAGAAAGGGUAGUUUAGACAUUUUGAUGAGAAACAUGCUUGUGAAAAGUCAUGUUCCGCGGUUUGGAUAAAGUUCAAACGGAAUUUUCCUUUUGUUGAGUGCCCAUUAUCACAGUACCUGUUGAUCUUAUGCUUAUGAUCUACAAAAGGGUAUUUUAGACCUUUUUGCGUAACAUGGUGGCUGGACAUUUUUUACUUUUACACCCUAUGUUCUCUCCUGAAACUCCAUUGUUUUAUUCUCUAGAAAGUAGUAUAGCCAAAAGCCCAAAAGUACCUAUUUGUCUAUUACCUUUUUUCACUAUAAGUCUAUGACUAUGAUCUUCUGACAUUAGAAAAACAAGGAUAAUUUAGACAUUUUGCUAAGAGGAAAAUAUCAUUGUAUCGAGAACAUGUUUUACCUUUUACGCCCCCUAUCUUGUGAGAAUUGCGUUGUUCCAUUCUUUGAAAAAAGAAUUCAAGCUAAAUUACCUAUUUGCCCAUUACAUUCCUUUUAACGAAGAAAGGUAGUUUAGAACUUUUUGCUUAUUGUGAGAUAUAACACCUUCCUUGUAACACUGAUUUUGGUCCUCAAGGGUAUCGUAGUCAUUAACUCAUUUUACUAAGAACAAAACACAUUUGUCAAUUCAAAUUCUAAUUAAUUGUGUUGAAUUUGCAGAGGCUGGACAUGCUCUAGUUGGUGCCCUAAUGCCCGAAUAUGACCCUGUAGCAAAGAUAUCCAUCAUUCCUCGUGGUCAAGCAGGUGGUCUUACAUUUUUUGCCCCAAGUGAAGAAAGACUCGAAUCUGGUUUAUAUAGCAGAAGUUACCUUGAAAACCAAAUGGCUGUUGCACUUGGUGGAAGGUACAAUACAUACUUAUGUAGUUCUGAAAAAGACAGUUUUGCCCCUGUCAUUGUCCCAUACACAUUCCAUAGCGAUCAUAGGGGCAAAACAGUCUUUUCAUGGACAUAACAUUUUGACCAACAAACCUAAAUCAAAACCAGCAGUAUAUGUUUCUGGUUAGUUUUUAAGCCUAAUUAGGAUAACAUAUGACACCAUCAACCAUAUUGUAUAGGGUUGCGGAAGAGGUUAUUUUUGGAAAAGACAAUGUUACAACCGGAGCAUCAAACGACUUCAUGCAAGUUUCUCGUGUAGCAAGGCAAAUGGUUGAGAGAUUUGGAUUCAGCAAGAAGAUUGGUCAAAUAGCAAUUGGAGGUGGUGGUGGAAAUCCCUUCUUGGGUCAACAGGUAUCAAACAAUCCAUCCAUUGUACACUUAAAUAAACAUAACUUUUAAAGAUAUUAAUGUUAUUGAAGUCGGACUUUCUCUUUUUUUAUAGAUGUCAUCCCAAAAAGAUUAUUCCAUGGCAACAGCGGAUAUUGUAGACGCAGAAGUACGUGAGCUUGUUGAGAAAGCAUACAUUAGGGCAACCACAAUCAUCACAACACAAAUCGACAUCUUGCAUAAACUCGCCCAACUUCUAAUGGAGAAAGAAACAGUCGAUGGUGAAGAAUUCAUGAGCCUUUUCAUCGAUGGGAAAGCCGAACUCUACAUCCUAGAUUAGGAAAAUUUGCGCAAUUUAUAUGUAAAAACAUAAGUUUGACA
rnacentral:lncRNA from 1 species